GACAGAGGGUGCAAACGUUGUUCGGAAUUACUGGGCGUAAAGCGAGUGUAGGCGGUCUCGUAAGUCGGGUGUGAAAGCCCUGGGCUCAACCCAGGAAGUGCACUCGAAACUGCGAGGCUAGAGUACUGGAGAGGUUGGUGGAAUUCUCGGUGUAGAGGUGAAAUUCGUAGAUAUUCGCAAGAACACCAGUGGCGAAGGCGGCUCACUGGCCCGGUACUGACGCUGAGGUGCGAAAGCGUGGGGAGCAAACAGG
rnacentral:rRNA from 1 species